AACGAACGCUGGCGGCGUGGAUUAGGCAUGCAAGUCGAACGCGAAAGAGGGGGUAACUCCUCGAGUAGAGUGGCGAACGGGUGAGUAACACGUGAGAAACCUGCCUUCAGCAGGGGGAGUAACACUACCCAACGGGGUGGCUAAUACCGCAUGAGACCACGGAUUCGCAUGGAUCUGGGGUCAAAGGUGGCCUCUGCUUGCAAGCUACCGGCUGAAGAUGGUCUCGCGUCCCAUUAGCUAGUUGGUGGGGUAA
rnacentral:rRNA from 1 species